UACGUAGGGUGCAAGCGUUGUCCGGAAUUAUUGGGCGUAAAGAGCUCGUAGGCGGUCUGUCGCGUCGGAUGUGAAAAUCCAGGGCUCAACCCUGGACCUGCAUUCGAUACGGGCAGACUAGAGUUCGGCAGGGGAGACUGGAAUUCCUGGUGUAGCGGUGAAAUGCGCAGAUAUCGAGAGGAACACCUGCGGCGAAGGCGGGUAGCUGGGCCGACACUGACGCUGAUGCGCGAAAGCCAGGGGAGCGAACGGG
rnacentral:rRNA from 1 species